rnacentral:rRNA from 1 species
AUGAACGCUAGCGGCAGGCUUAACACAUGCAAGUCGAGGGGCAGCGCGUUGUAGCAAUACAAUGGCGGCGACCGGCGCAAGGGUGCGUAACGCGUGAGCAAUCUGCCCGUAUCAGGGGGAUAAGCGAUGGAAACGUCGUCUAAUACCGCAUAACAACGAGGGAGGCAUCUUCCAUGUUUGAAAGAUUCGUCGGAUACGGAUGAGCUCGCGAGACAUUAGCUAGUCGGCGGGGUAACGGCCCACCGAGGCUACGAUGUCUAGGGGAACUGAGAGGUUGGUCCCCCACACUGGAACUGAGACACGGUCCAGACUCCUACGGGAGGCAGCAGUGAGGAAUAUUGGACAAUGGCCGGAAGGCUGAUCCAGCCAUGCCGCGUGAAGGAAGAAGGUCCUAUGGAUUGUAAACUUUUUGUAUGGGAGCAAUAAGGGUGUCGUGACGCCCGAUGAGAGUACCAUACGAAUAAGCAUCGGCUAACUCCGUGCC